rnacentral:lncRNA from 1 species
CCAUUUGGUUUUUUGGAUUGGUCUCUGGCAAAAGCAAAAAAUCAUCAAAUCAUUCAAUUUCUCUUUAUUAGAACCUGAAUCCAAAAACCUGUCAUUCAAUUACUCUUUAUUAGAACGUGAAUCCAAAAACCUCCAUAACAGAAUCGUCUAAUCGAAGAGAGCUGGUAAGCAGAUUGCUUAGGGUUUACAAAAAUUAUUAUAAUAAUAAAUUAUAAUAAUUUGAAAAAGAAAAAAGAAAAAUCAUAUGAUGGCGAAUCUAUACGUGAAGGCGACGCCACC